UUUCAAUACAGUCAUCGUGUAUGGUGCAUGGUGAUGCCGGACUUGCAGACGCUUUUUUAAUGAUUUUUACCACCGACGGGCUUAAAUUGUUGUUGACAAGAACCCCUUCAAGAAGUUCAUGGGUGUGUGCAACCAACAAGACACCGAUCUUCGCAGCUGCUUAAACAAAGAGUAUCAUCAGAGACU